GGAACUGGCCAGUUUAAACAUCUGAAUACGAGAGCCUCCUCCUUCAGAAAACAUCUAGACAGAUGCCAGAACACUGACAAAAGCAUAAUGGUCACAAUUGAG